GUUUUGCCACCCAGGCUGGAGUGCAGUAAUGUAAUCUUGGCUCACCGCAGCCUCAACCUCCUGGGCUCAAGCAAUCCUCCCACCUCAGCCUCCCUAGUGGCGGGAACUACAGGCAUGAGGCGAAUUCUCAGCCGUGACAAGGCUGAAGGCCAGCAGAAACAGGCUCUAGUGAAACGAGUGCUGUGUCCCCUUCCUGCUUGUGGCAGAAAGUUGCAAAGUUUCAUGGAUUUGAAUGUGAACAUCUGUUCCCCUGGACGCACUGCCAACAAUGUGGUCCAACUGGUACUCAUCGUUGUAACUACCAAGUCAACUAAUUUUUUUUUUUUUUUGAGACAGAGUCCCACUCUGUCACCCAGGUGUGGCAUGCAGUGUCACGGCAGUGGCAUGAUCACAGCUUACUGCAGCCUUGACUUCCCCAGGGUCAGGCGAUUCUCUCACCUCAG